CAUUGUUUUUCCCACAAACUUAUUUCUUAAAUCUUUAUUCACUUCUUCCCAAUCUCCAAUCAUUCUCCCUCUCUCUCUCUCACAAGAGAUUAGGGUUAUAGGCCAUGGCUAGUGAGGCACCAAGCUGGGCAGAUCAAUGGGGUGCUGGUGGGAUUGGUGCUAUCGAAGAAGAAAAGGUCGAUCCCAACAAAGAAACCAACAACAACAAAAACAACAAGGGCUCAACGGCAUUUGGUAGAGCGAAUUCGGUAGCCAAAGAGGGAGCCAAGAAACUCAAGAACGGGACGUCGAAUGGGAUCAAAUGGAUCAAGAACAAAUGCCAAAAGAAGAAUUCAAACUCAGAUUUAAAAGAAUAGGAUUCCUUUUUGGGCAUUUUGAUUUAUAACAAGAUUGUAUCAUCAAGAUCCCAUAUUUGUAUUAAUUUGUUAAAAAGACAAAGAGUCCUUUUUUUUUAUUUUCCCAUGCUUCGUUUGAUUGAUUACAGAUGGACAUUAUAUUCGAUUGAUGUUUUAUUUGUAGUAGUGUGAAAUGAUGAAAAUACCCUUAUGAGUACAUAAAUAGGUAGACCUUUAAGGUCAAGUCACAAACUGGGUGGAGUUUUGUUGAGAUUUCGUUAUCGUAACUGAUAUCCAUUUUUUA